CUUGGUCAUUUAGAGGAAGUAAAAGUCGUAACAAGGUCUCCGUAGGUGAACCUGCGGAGGGAUCAUUACACAAUAAAAUACGAAGGCCGUUCGCGGCUGGACUAUUUAUUACCCUUGUCUUUUGCGCACUUGUUGUUUCCUGGGCGGGUUCGCUCGCCACCAGGACCACAAUAUAAACCUUUUUUAUGCAGUUGCAAUCAGCGUCAGUAUAACAAAUGUAAAUCAUUUACAACUUUCAACAACGGAUCUCUCGGUUCUGGCAUCGAUGAAGAACGCAGUGAAAUGCGAUACGUAGUGUGAAUUGCAGAAUUCAGUGAAUCAUCGAAUCUUUGAACGCACAUUGCGCCCUUUGGUAUUCCAAAGGGCAUGCCUGUUCGAGCGUCAUUUGUACCCUCAAGCUUUGCUUGGUGUUGGGCGUUUUUGUCUUUGGCCCGCCAAAGACUCGCCUUAAAAUGAUUGGCAGCCGGCCUACUGGUUUCGCAGCGCAGCACAUUUUUGCGCUUGCAAUCAGCAAAAGAGGACGGCAAUCCAUCAAGACUCCUUCUCACGUUUGACCUCGGAUCAGGUAGGGAUACCCGCUGAACUUAAGCAUAUCAAUAAGCGGAGGA
rnacentral:rRNA from 1 species